rnacentral:rRNA from 1 species
GACGAACGCUGGCGGCGUGCCUAAUACAUGCAAGUCGAACGCAGUGGGGACGGGUGAGUAACACGUGGGUAACCUCCCAUCAGAGGGGAUAACACUUGGAAACAGGUGCUAAACCGAUACUGAUGGAUGGACCCGCGGUGCAUUAGCUAGGUGGUGAGGUAACGGCUCACCAAGGCCACGAUGCAUAGCCUACCUGUGAGGGGGAGCAGCCACCCUGGGACGGAGACACGGCCAAGACUCCGACGGGAGGCAGCAGUAGGGAAUCUUCGGCAAUGGACGAAAGUCUGACCGAGCAACGCCGCGUGAGGUAAGAAGGUUUUGGGAUCGUAUAACUCUGUUGUUAGAGAAGCGGUAUCUAACCAGAAAGCCACGGCUAACUACGUGCCAGCCGCCGCGGUAAUUC